CUCGUUGUCCCAGCUGCGGUUGCCCAGGCUGGGGGCGGCGGCGGAGACGUCCCGCAGCCGGAUCUCGCCCUCGCCCGCCGUAGCCUGCAGCAUCAGCCGGGGCUUGGCGGCCAGCGGGUGGGCGUCGAGGGCCAGCACCGCCCGGCGCACCCAAGGGUGCCCCUCGGCCAGGCUGCGGACCAGUGCCUGGUACCACUCCACGUCCUCGGCCACGCUGGCCUCGCGGAUGUCGUUGCUCUGGAAGAGCAUGUUGAGGAAGUUGGCGGCCUGGGCCAGCGCCUCGGGGGCGGCACGCAGGGCGGCCCGCAGAGCCGGGGGGGGGCCGGAGCCGGGGGCCCCCGCCGCGACGCCCCGGCUGCAGUUGGCCCGGGCCAGGCGCUGCGCAUCGCCCGAGCGCAGGAAGGCCAGCGCCGCUACCGAGCCCUCGGCGUCCCCCGACGGCCCCGGCUCCGACGUGGGCACCCAGGGGGGUGGCGAGGCCGGGGGCCGCUGUGCCCCCCCCAGGAGCAGCACAGCGUGCAGCCACCAGAGCAGCGGCCACCACCACAGCCCCAUGGCCAGGCUCAGCGCAGCCCCCCGGCACCCCGCGGCCGGCCCGGGGGGGGCAUGGUGGGCACGGCGCCCGAGCCGGCCGGGAGCCCGCUGGGCUGCGCUGAGCCGCUCUCCGCCGCCUGUUUUCCUCCCUCCACAGACGUCACCGGCUCCAAACCGCGCUCAGCCGCUGGCGCUGCCCGCACGGAGCCCCCCCGCCCGCCCCCGCCUGCCUCCGGUCUUGGCCCCGCUGUGGGGAGCCCCCGGCCGGCCCCGGGACCCCGCUCCCCGGCCCCUCGGGCUGCCCGUGAUGCAAGCGCAUCCCGACGGGCAGCCAUGGCAACCGUGCUGCGAGCAUCCGCAUCCACAUCCCGCAGCCGCAUCCUGCACCCCGCGGCUCCCGGGGGUCCCAGGGGUCGGUGCUGCAGCGCCCCAGGCCCCGGGGAGGGGGCUGGGGUUGGGCUCCCACCGGCAGGAAACCCAAAGUCCCUGUUGUGGGGCAGGGAGGGAAAUGGGGGCACACGGGGGGCCCAGUGGGGCAGGGGGUGCUGUGCACCCAGAGCUGCCCCUUGCUCCCCACUCCCCAAUUUUGGGGUGUCCUGGGUGCCACGCAGCACUGCCUGCCAAUGGGGGGAAACUGAGGCACAGGAGGCUGGUGCAAAGCAAGGGGGGGGGGGGGGGGGGGUCCCCGGCCCCCAGGCCGGGGGCCGGGGGGCGCCCCCGGUUUCGGCCCUCCGGGGGGGGGGCUGCCCCGGGUGCCUGCAGGAGCCGUGCAGGAGCCGCACAGCGGCUGUGCAAAGGACGUGCAGCAGCUGUGCAAGGGGCAUGCAGGAGCUGUGCAAGAGCUGUGCAAAAGCUGUGCAGGAGCCAUGCAGAGUGUGCAGAGCUGUGCAGGAGCCGUGUGAGUGCUGUGUAGGAGCCGUGCAUGAGCCAUGCAUGAGCUGUGAAGGAGGCAUGCAGGAGCCAUGCAGCAGCCAUGCAAAAGUGGUGCAGCAUCCGUGCAAGUGCCGUGCAGGAGCCGUGCAAAAACUGUGUAGAAGCCAUGCAUGGGCUGUGCAGAGCCAUGCAGCAGGCAUGCAGCAGGCGUGCAGCAGGCAUGCAGGAGCUGUGCAGAGCAACACAUAGCAGUGCAGCCCCGUGCAUUGCCGUGCACCCCGGUGCCUCCCGGUGCCCCCCGGUGCCCCCCUCCCGUUCCGUCCCG
rnacentral:lncRNA from 1 species